GACGAACGCUGGCGGCGCGCUUAACACAUGCAAGUCGAGCGAAGCGGCGGCCGGGUGAGUAACACGUGAGUAACCUGCCACAGACAUUGGGAUAGCCUCCGGAAACCGGGUUUAAUACCAAAUGGUCUAAGAUGGACUCGCGUCCCAUUAGCUAGUUGGUGGGUAAGGGCCAACCAAGGCGACGAUGGGUAGCCGGCCUGGGAGGUUGAACGGGCUCAUAGGAACUGCGAGACGGUCCAAACUCUACGGGAGGCAGCAGUGGGGAAUAUUGAACAAUGGAGGAACCUCUGAGGCAGCGACGCCGCGUGAACGAAGAAGGCUUUCGAGUCGUAAAGUUCUUUUAUAUGGGAAGCGGUACCAUAAGAAAAAGCCCCGGCUAACUACGUGCCAGCAGCCGCGGUAAUAC
rnacentral:rRNA from 1 species